rnacentral:ncRNA from 2 species
ACAAGUCUAGAUGGAGGCACUGAAAAUUUAAUUUUGGCGUCAAAUUAAAUUUUUAGUGCCUCCAUAUAGACUUGU